UCUUUUUAUAUAUGCCUACAGGUUGUUCCAUGAAAAGACAAGUGAGUUUUGGUCUGUAGAAGAAGAUUGGUCUAUUAUGCUGAAAGGAGACAGCCUCCAUGGUGAGAAGUCGGCGCGACAAUGCUGGUGCAGCUGCUCCACGAUGGUGGCGGGCAGUUCAAAGGAUUUGCAGCUUCUGUCAUCAGGGAGAGAGGAUAGCUGAUAAUUUUGGUGUUCUGUGCUGUUGAAUCAUGGGAGAGCCACCUAAUUGUGGAUGCCAAAUGAAGCGUCGGGAAAAUUUGUCUGCCACACAAUAGAAGGUGAGUACUAAAUGAUUGAUUGAGCGUUAAGUUUUCUAUGUAGUCUUGAAUGAGCAUAUGACCAAUUAAGUGUAAAUUAUAACGUGAUAAUUUUAAUUUCCCCUGUAGUCUGAAUGAGCAUAUGAUCAGUUUAGUAUAAAUUAUUAGACAUCUUCUUUUGCUUUGCAGUAGUAACUCAUGAGUAUUAUUUUAUCUACAACUGGUAAUUCUAAUAGGGGAUUAGGUGUUGAUGCUGUCUUCGUCUCAAGAAAUGCUGGGCCUACUUUUUGAUCAUGAAUAACAAAGAUAAAUAUGUCUUUGCCACUUUACUAGCUUACAUAAUGUUUUCUAUUUCACAUAACGAUGUUUUGCUUCUAUAAG